AUAUAUUUUCUUCUGCUUCACUUUGCAAAUCGUGAGUUUUAAUAUACAUUUUUUACCAUCAUGAGAUGCUUGAGGUUCAUGAACCUGUAUUGUUUAUUGACACACCUGAAAUGAACUACUCCCACAUCCUCUACAUAUAAAACACUGAUGGGAAGUUAGUACAAGGAGAGCCUGAAGGAGAGUGGAAAAAGUAAGGAAAAGGCAACCACAAGAUCACACAUCACGGUCAGCGUUGCUUAGUUUAACUAACUUGUAGAGCCAUGUGAAUAGUAUGAAUAACUUGUAGGUCUGAAUAGAUUAAUUAACUUGUACAGUAUAUGUAAAUGGUGUCAAAUGUGAUCCUGAAAGCAUAAUUUCUAAUCAUACUCGGCCCUGACAACCUACUUAAUAUCAGUCAUCAGGGAUGGGAUGUUGUCGAAGAAAACAAUUUACUGAUGACAAUUCAUUUGACCCUCGGUGUCAGAGGGCUUUGUGAUGGAAGGGACUCAGCAUGGGAGCUGAGAGAGGAAGGCUGCCUCAUUACUUCUGCUUGAUUGCAGGGGAUUGAGAAUGAGAACAAUGGCAGGAGGCAAAGGUAUAGAGACAGACUGAGACAAACCAGGGAUAUUUGCAUAUGCAUUCGUGGACUCUUCCCGGAAACGUAUGUGGCAAUUAUAUUUUGACAGACCAUGCAUAAUAUAACGAAAGCAUUCAAUAAAGUUCUAAAAAAAAUGUGAACAU